UCUAUGUUUGCUCACUGACAGAGACAGGGAAUGCAGCCAUUGUUUCACAAGGGUUCAAUUACUUUGUGGGUGACACAAUGCUGGACAGUGCCCAUAUAGUCUCCAGAAACAGGACAUCCCACUUUCCUUGCCCAGGGCAAUCAGAGAGAGCAGGACUGCUGUUCCAGCUCUGUGGCUAAUCCACUGUGCUGAGAAGAAUUCUCUGCUGAGAGUCUCUGGUAGAAAGAAUGGAUGGGUCACUGCUCUCACUGCCUUGGCAUCCUCCCAAUGAGUUUGCAGUACUGAUGAAGCCAGAAAAACAGCACUCCUGGUUGAAGUGAUUUAUGUUUAUUAGUUAAAAUCUAAUAUAAAGUAUGGAAGUAAUGUGAAACCAUCUUUAUUUAAUAAAUACCCAAAGGUAUAAUGCAUUUUUAA